CGGCCACGCCGCGNGUGCGAUGAAGGUCUUCGGAUCGUAAAGCACUGUGGGGGGAGAAGAACAAAGCUGGUGAAGAGCCAGCCCUGACCGGUAUCCCCCUUAGCAAGCACCGGCUAACUCCGUGCCAGCAGCCGCGGUAAUACGGAGGGUGCAAACGUUGCUCGGAAUCACUGGGCGUAAAGCGCACGUAGGCGGCCUUGUAAGUUGGAUGUGAAAGCCCUGGGCUCAACCCAGGAAGUGCAUCCAAAACUGCAUGGCUUGAGUACCGGAGGGGUUCAGAGAAUUCCCGGUGUAGAGGUGAAAUUCGUAGAUAUCGGGAGGAAUACCAGUGGCGAAGGCGCUGAACUGGACGGUAACUGACGCUGAGGUGCGAAAGCGUGGGUAGCAAACAGGAUUAGAUACCCUGGUAGUCCACGCCGUAAACGAUGAGUGCUAGGCGGUGGGAGAUUUUGACCCUCUCGCUGUCGAAGCUAACGCGUUAAGCACUCCGCCUGGGGAGUACGGUCGCAAGACUAAAACUCAAGGAAUUGACGGGAGCCGUCGACGCGGCCG
rnacentral:rRNA from 1 species